AUUGAACGCUGGCGGCAUGCCUUACACAUGCAAGUCGAACGGUAACAGGUCUUCGGAUGCUGACGAGUGGCGAACGGGUGAGUAAUACAUCGGAACGUGCCCGAUCGUGGGGGAUAACGAAGCGAAAGCUUUGCUAAUACCGCAUAAGAUCUACGGAUGAAAGCAGGGGACCGCAAGGCCUUGCGCGAACGGAGCGGCCGAUGGCAGAUUAGGUAGUUGGUGGGAUAAAAGCUUACCAAGCCGACGAUCUGUAGCUGGUCUGAGAGGACGACCAGCCACACUGGGACUGAGACACGGCCCAGACUCCUACGGGAGGCAGCAAUGGGGAAUUUUGGACAAUGGGCGCAAGCCUGAUCCAGCAAUGCCGCGUGCAGGAUGAAGGCCUUCGGGUUGUAAACUGCUUUUGUACGGAACGAAAAGCCCUGGGUUAAUACCCUGGGGUCAUGACGGUACCGUAAGAAUAAGCACCGGCUAACUACGUGCCAGCCGCCGCCGUAACAC
rnacentral:rRNA from 1 species